UGCGCAGCCUGCAUUCGCUCCAUAAGACGCACACACAUUUCCCCUUACUUUUUAGGAGGGAAAAUGUGAGUCUUAUAGAGCAAAAAAUAUGGUAUUUUAGAGACGAAAAUGGAAGGCGAGAGUUGGGGUGGAGGCUGUAACUGUUGGGCAGGCCCAUCCUUGUGUCAUGUGUCCCCAGCCUCUCUCGCCAACGGACUGUGCAAAUGAUGAAAUAGCAGGGCAUUCUACAGAUUCGCCAUUUUUAUUGUGCACAAACAUAUCUGUGGUGAAACAGAAACACCGAGCAAAAUUAAGUCCAACCACAGUGGAAGAAGCACUCGGAAAAAUGUGCAAACCGCCUCCUUUGUUUCAGGAGUACUAAAUGCAGCAAUAGCUUGCUCCAGCCACAAAUCCUUUAGUUAUCUCCCCAUGUCUGAUGCUGCCAUCUUUUCCAUGCAAGGAACUAAACUUGUAUGAUUAAAAACCAGGGGACCUGGAGCCCUCCAGCCAUUGCUGGACUCCAUAUCUGCCAUCAUUCCAGUGUUCCUUCAACCGUUGGGUCCCCAGAUGUUGAUGGACUACAACUCCCAUCGUCCAUGACCGUCCGUUAACCUGGCCGUGGACGAUGGACGUUGUAGUCCCAGGACAUCUGGGAAGUGGGAAUCCAACAGUUGAAGAACACCAGCCUACUCUGCACUGUUGACACUUGUCCAAAAGCUCUCCAGUCUUUCAGAGAAGGCUUUUGAGCCUUGUUUUGAAGAUACUGGAGAUCAAAACUUUUGCCUACUCUGCUAUGUUCUUAUGUGCAAAGCCGACCAUUCUCAGAUUUGCAUCGCACGAUGAUCCUGGCAGUGCUUGCAAAUCCGGUGCAGCGUUCACCGGAAUGACGUUUGGAACCCAGAAUUCCCAAAACAUCAAGAGUCUUAACGCAACACCUUCGGCCAAGGUCUUACAAGAAAAUGCAAGCGACCAGGGGAAGUUUCCUACGGCUAACACACGCCCACUGUUCGCCUUUUGCAGAAUUAUUCUGUGUACAGAUUUGCACCACGUGCACUCAAUAAAGAUUAAGGAGACAGACAACAGACAGGAAGACUGCUGAACAUAAAUACUUCAGAUCCAAGUGUGUCUUUGAAGCAGCAGUCUCAUCCAGAGGUAUUUGUCAUCUAAGGGUGCUUCCAUACAGAAGGCUCUCAGGGCUUCCAGUAAUUGCUCUUCCACCGAAAGCUACAAGCAGAAUUGCCAUUGGUCACCCACAUUUCAAGAGUCAAGGUGCGUGUGCAUCUUGCAUUCACCCAGUGGGCAUGGCAGAGCCGGUUGGCACCUUUGCCCGCUCACAUUUCCCGACUGCUCACUGGCCAUGCCCACCCACUCUCUUCUCCAGACAUUUUGAAGUGGGUGUUCUCAGCGGCAUUUUGGGCACCCUUGUUUGGUUAUGGUUGUUGGAAGGGAAAUCGCAAAAAUAAUAGUUAAAAGAGCUCUAGUUUUGUUUUUAAAAUGCCGCCUGUAUAACAGGGUAACAACAAACCAACCUAUGUUCACAUAAAGCAUCCUCAAUAAACAUAUGAGAUGUAACCGGCUCUGUUCUUAGAUAAAUAAGAUAUACUAUUCAAAGUAUUGGGACACGGGUGGCGCUGUGGGUUAAACCACAGAGCCUAGGACUUGCCGAUCAGAAGGUCGGCGGUUCGAAUCCCCGCGACGGAGUGAGCUCCCGUUGCUCGGUCCCUGCUCCUGCCAACCUAGCAGUUUGAAAGCACGUCAAAGUGCAAGUAGAUGAAUAGGUACCACUCCGGCGGGAAGGUAAACAGUGUUUCCAUGCGCUGCUCUGGUUCGCCAGAAGCGGCUUAGUCAUGCUGGCCACAUGACCUGGAAGCUGUACCCGGCUCCCUCGGCCAGUAAAGCGAGAUGAGCGCCGCAACCCCAGAGUUGUCCGUGACUGGACCUAAUGGUCAGGGGUCCUUUUAUUCAUAGUAUCAAAUUGUAAAUUUAAACAGAAGGAACUCACACCUGUCUGUAAAAUGUGUGAGAUCAUGAUAUUGUAUUUAUUUGCAUUACUUAGAGCCUUAACUACUGAUGAAGCCCAGGAUGGCAAAACAAGGCCAAUAUUCCAGAAAUCCUUGUCUUAGUCUUUGCGAAAGGAUUUUGUGGAUCUGUAACAACCUUUCAUGUGGAUUGUUUGGACUUUAUGAACAGACAGGUGGAAUGGACACCAUUACACAGAUGGACCUUAUGCAUGAACUGACUAUAGAAUGAUCUGAUCCACUGGGUCUUCUGCUUUGUUCGUUUGUUGAACUUUAUGAGAUACUUCUGUUGAAAUUUACAAUUUGAUACUAUGAAGAGUAUAUCUUAUUAUCUAAGAACACAGCCGGUUACAUCUCACGUGUUACAGGGUAAGCAAACUGCAUCUAAACUGAUUUCUGAGUGAACGACUGAGAUGCAGGUUGCAAGGAUUUCGCCAGAGAAUGCCCAGCUCUCAAUUUCACAAGUAGAUCUCAUCAGACAACCCAACCAGCCAGUUCCAGAAUUCAGCCUGGUAAGGUUCACAGCCCAGCUAGGAAAUAUACCAGCUUGAUCUUCAUUGCUUCUGAGCUGCAUUGAUUUUCCAUAGUGCAAUUGCAAAAAAAUCCCCCCAAAAAUAUAUAUAUUUAAGGAGUGGUUUAGAGGACUGUAACUUUACAGUGCUUACUCAGAAGUAAGCCCUGCCACUGUCAAUGCAGCCUACUAAUUAAUAGCUAAACUGAAGGUGGAAGAAUCUUCAGUUCAGGAAGCGGUUAAUGGAGGGGACAAGAGUUUCGGAGAAAGACAGGAAAUGGCUCUGGAACAGGAAAUGCACAGCGGACCAAUAGAAAAAGGGGGCGGGCUCUCCAACGUGUCACCCACCUCCGGGGGCAACUCCUCACCCCCCUACUGCAGCGAGAUCCCCACCCCCUGCAAAGGAGAUUGCAUUGCUAUUCUGCUCUUAAUGGAUUUUUGUGGGGAAAACCAGACCGAAAAAGAAAUGGGGAAACCUGGCAGGUUUUCAAUCUGCCCACGAGGCGGGCAAUUGCACGUGAGAAGCCGCCUUUGGAAGCACCGAAAGGGCCUUGGAUUGGGACCCGCAGGAGAUUCUGAUGCUUUACUUAGGGCCAAACUCAAGAGGAACAUCAGACAAUCACAGCCUACUAAGGAUUCAAUCAUUCACACCACUUUGUUCUUAUUAAGACAUUAUCGUCAGGAAGCAAGGACGUCACCAGGGAAGAGUUAAUUGCAUACUGGGGUGAGAUCGGAGUACUGAACGUUUUACGGCAGGCAUGGGAAACUUUUGGCCCUCCAGAUGUUCCUGCAUCCGAGUCCAGUGUCCAGUCCUGGGUGCCAGAGUUUAAGAAGGAUACUGACAAGCUGGGGCAGAGGUCAGCAAAAAAUUUUUAGCCACGGGCCGGUCCACUGUCCCUCAGACCUUGUGGCCGGCCGGAGAAGCGUCACUCCCAGAGGUCUUUCUUCUUGGAAUAACAGGUUUGGAAGUGCCCAAGAAAGAUGUUAGACUGUUUUUGUAUGUCACAACUGCUGCUAGAAUUUUGUACGCUAAGAAUUGGAAGACACAAGAAGUCCCAACAGUGGAGGAAUGGCAGAUGAUGAUGAUGGACUUUUCGAAGCUAGCUGACCUGACUGGAAGAAGCCGUGACCAGAAAGAAGAAGAGUUUCAAGAGGACUGGAGGAAAUUUAAGGACUAUUUAGUUAAAUAUGUUAAGAUAACUUCAUUGGAAAAAUUUGCAAAUCUCAGAUAGGCUUAGGAUUUAAAUAUGUAUUGUUAGAGAAUAACAUGUUUCAAGUUAAAAUGAAAAGAAAGAAAGAUGUUAAGGGAUUAAGUUAAUUUUAUGAGAAAAUUGGUUUUGGAAAACUGCUACAAUGAUAUACGCUGAAAUUCAGCCAGGGGGAUUUGAGGAAGUCACUUAACAAUGUUACUAAGAUUGGAUUAAGUACAAUUAAGAUGUUUGUUUGUUUGAAAAUUUUGGAAAACCAAUAAAAAAAAAUUUGGAGGGAAAAAGAGAGAAGCAUCACUGGUAGGGGGAAGCUGGAAGAAGAGGCGAGGGGAGCAAACAGUCCUCCUCCUCACCCCCCACCUCCAGUCCCAGCCGCUGCGCUUACCUCCCAGGGGCUGCCGCUGCUGCCGCCACUGCUUAGUAGGCAGAGCAAGUUUGUCCACUCCGCUCUCUGGCCCGCAGGAGCACCAGGGUGGCGGUGGCGGAGGGAAGAUGAGUGGCGCAAAAGAGCUGGCUCCAGAGAGGGGCUGCUUAAAAUGGCGCUCAGCCAGCCCCCUUCCUUCUCUAGGCAAGGCAGGGAGAAACUGGGAGGAGGGAGGGAGGGAGGAGGAGGAGCGGUGUGUGUGUGGAGUGGAAUGGAAUGGCGCAGGGGGGGGAAUGGCGCAGCCCGAACAAACAAUCCCCACGCCGAUCCACGGACAGUCCACGGGCCGGAUCCUGAAGGCAACUGGGCCUGAUCCAGCCCACGGGCCUUAGUUUGCCGACCCCUGAGCUAGAGUAUGUGGAGAGGAUAAUCAAGGGACUGGAAGCCAUGCCUGAUGAGGAACGGUUGAAGGAGCUGGGGAUGUUUAGCCUGGAAAAGAGGAGAUAUGAGAACCAUCUUCAAAUAUCUCAAGGGCUGUCCCAUGGAAGAGAGAGCGAGCUUGUUUUCUGCUGCUCCAGAGGUCAGGACUCGAACGAAUGGAUUCAAAUUACAAGGAAGGAGAUUCCGACUAAACAUCAGGAAGAACUUUCCGACAGUGAGAGUUAUUCCAUAGUGGAAUGGACUCCCUCAGAAGGUGUUGGGCUCUCCUUAACUGGAGACUCUGAAACAGAGUUUGGACGGUCAUCUGUCAGGAAUGCUUUAGCUACGAUUCCUCUUCCAACUGCACAAUUCUACGAUUCCAACUGCAACUCCCACCAUCCCUGGCGGCUGGCCAUGCUUGCUGCUGGGGGUUGCAGUUCAAUAAACACACAAGACGUAACCGGCUGUACAUUUGAAAAAAUAAUAUAUACUAUUCAUUGUAUUGAAUUGUAGAUUUCAACAGAAGUAGCUCAUAAAGUUCAACGAAAAACGUAGAAGCUUCAUCAGUAGUAUGAACUCUAGGUAAUGCAAAUAAAUACGAUAAAAACCGUCAACAACCGUACAUACCAUAUAUGAUAUCACAGGGCAGUGGAUCUUAUAGCAUAGUAGUAGCUGCUGUAAGCAACAACAUUUACAGAGUUAUAUGGACAAGCACAAUAUUUUGAUUCGAGUAACAGGUGUUGGCAAUCAACAGAUAGAAAAAUUUAUUUCUUAAAGCGACCCAUAUGGCACCACAGAAAUAAAACAAACUGAAUCCAUUCUCAGAUGUUCCACAUAUAAACAGUAACGCACCUCAUACAAAAAUGUAAUCAAAUAU